rnacentral:lncRNA from 1 species
AAGUGGAAAUUUAAAGGGUUUAGAGGGCGCUUAUUUUGGGAAGCGCCCUCUAAAGUGGGUGGUUAUUUAAAUUUUUUUUUUUAAAAAGCGCUAUAUUUUUUUAUUUAUUUUAGACAACCUGUAUAUUGAAGCAGUACACCCAAAACUGUAUAAUUUGAAGCCCUUUUUCACACAUUGCAUUCAACAAGCCUUAUAUACAACAAUCCACUGAUAUAUAAUCGUUUAACUUCUAAAGAUUCUAAAUAUACAACCAAUU